rnacentral:lncRNA from 1 species
GAAGUCUGCGGCCUUGCCUAAUAGAACCGUAAUAGUCCUCGGGGAGGCGUGAUAAUGACAUCCUCCUUAAAUAAAAGGACUUAAUGGAGAUUUCCCAAAUUUGAAAACCACAUUUCCACUAGCAACCUACUCAGUGAAUGCUCUGGAGAGGAACUCAUGGGGAUCUGCAGUGGGGGAACGGGCGAGGAGGCUCGGAGCCUGCGCAGAGCAAGCGGUUCCGCACUGCCCUACUCUCCCAGGCAGGACAAAGGACCCACCCGAGGUUACAAACCACGAAGGUGGGCCGCCUUCUCCCUUCCAAUCAGCUCCCAAAGAGCAAAAAAGCUCAGACUCAGCAAAUCCUGUGUGACCCAAGGAAUAGGAAGCCCUGUCUCUCCAGUCUAGAAGCUGCUCCAACCUGAGGUGGCCAAUGAGGACAGUUGCCGUCUGAUUCUCAUAUUCUUGGGAAAGCAUUUCCCUUCUUGACAAAGAAACAAGCUGUGCAGGAUCCAGGCCACUAAGAAGACAAAG